AAUAGGUUGAAGCACACAUGCUCCCUCGGUCGUGUAAUUUGAGUCAGUACUCUCGGUAGCUGAGGUCAAGCCCGAUACAUUGGAAAUGGAACAUAAUGUGCGUUGUGUGGUCUGUUGUCCCUAGGUAUAAUCGUAUAUACAUAUGUAUGUAUACCGAAGAGGCAUAGCAGUAUGGCAGAUGGAUCGAUUUGUAAGGAGCGUCAAGGCGAGCCAGAGAUUCUCAUUCUCAUUCGUCGAAGUAAUAGGGGAAAUUGGAAACGCCACGGGAUAUUGUUUACAAAAUACUUGAAUUCCAUGACUCCGAUUUUAACCCGAUGCCCUAUGAUUUCUCUGACAACCGUGCUCGAUGAAACUACUUUAUCCUUAACACUAGAUUUACGGAACCUGUCAGUUUGGCGGAUAUUGAAUUUUUUAAACGUUAUUUAGUAACAAUUUAACCACUUGCGCUGGGAAGACGUGCCACGCACGUUGAGAUGUUUCUAUCCCGAAAUUCUCAAUGAUGUCAUUCACACAUUGAUAAUCUUGUUGCAUUAUUAGAUUACUUCAAAAUGUAUCACUCUAUACAGAAUGAUCAACAAACAAAGUAAGUGUACAUAUCAGAGUAAAAUAGGUAAAAACAAAAUUCAUCGCAAGAGACUUUGCCAAAUUUCUGAAUUCACUUCCAGUGCAAGUGGUUAAAUUGUUACUAAAUAACGUUUAAAAAAUUCAAAUUCAAUAUCCGAAAAACUUCCGAGUGCAAAGGGUUAAACUAGUGAAAUACUGAUUGAAAUCGGACCUCAAUUCAUUCCCGGCAAGAAAAUCGCACGAACUUUUCUAGGUACCUAAUAUUUUAAAGGAACGAGCAUACUACCAUCACAAAAGGACAUAUUUUGUUUCGAGAAUCUAGACGACCUCGUCACUCGAGCCAACGCACUUGAACGGGCUUGAGUUAUCGAAAUACUUUAACGUACACAUAUGUAUGUAUAUAUUCCGAUUCGGUGAAACCGUUUAAAGUAUCAAAUCAUUCGAAACCACUAAACAGACUGUUAUAUGCAAAAAUUAUGGAAAUAUAUUUUUACAAUAUAAAUGAGAAAGACAUUGGGCUUUCCGUUAAAAAUGAUCAUUUUGUUAUUUAAAAUAUCAGAUGAAUCGAGGAGAUAUAAUUAAAGAAUGUAAACUGAUUUUUACACUAGAACUAUCAAAUGGGUCAAAACAACCAAUUCCUGAUUUCUUCUUUUACAAUUGCUAAAAAGGUGUAACUGCUGCUUUGGGAAUUUAUAAUUUUUUAAAGGAUUAAUAAUUAACCCUUAGCGCUCCAGUUGAUUUUGCAAUCUAUCGACAACUCCAAGGAAUUUGUAUAGAACCCCUGGUGAAAAUUAUAAAAUUAUAUCAUAACGUUUCCUAAAUUGUUUGGUUUCCUUUCUAGGGCGAAAAUUGCAUAUCUAGCAAUUUCAACAAUCUUAGGAUAGUUUUUACAAAUUUGUUUAUUAAAAUAUACUAUGAAUGAUGGCGUAGUGGAGCUUAUAGAGUGCAAAGGGUUAAAGAAGUCGAUUUAGUAAUACCUAAACUACAAUACAAAUCAAUGAAAAUCUUAAUAAAUGCACGAUUAUAGUUUCCACGAAGAAAUAUGAAAAGUCAGUUUAACCAGUUCACUGCGUUUGACGAGUAUACAUGUCAUCUUAAUUCUUUGCACUCGAAAGGCGACUCACAGUCGCCAUCUGGCUCGACAUAACAAAAUUAUGAAGUUUGAUAUUCAAUAUCAAAGUUCAUAUAAUGUAAUUAUAAAUGAAAUAUUGAAAUAGAAUGUUGUUUACGUGUAUUAUUUAUAUUUAUGUUAGUCA